AUGAAAAAGCAUUCCAUUCGCCAACUUUAUAUCUUUGUUAAAAAUGUAUAAAUACAUAAAGUCAGAAGAAGAAGAGAUAAUCUCUUAUACUAUAUAUGUACCAGAGCAAAGAUCGAUUUUCGUGUGGGAAUAGUGCUUACUUUACUGAAAGCUUAGUAACACCCUUUGCCAUGUAUUGCAGUUUCUUUUUCUUUUGUUAGUUACCGCCCCAUGAAUUCUUCAAAGCAGGCUAUCUCCGACAAAGACGAUGAUGCCAUGCCAGAUCACACAAGGUGCGAAGCCUUGACUAAUUCUGUAACAUUGGGGCGUAGCUGCUAUUUCACCGGGAGUGUAGGGCUCUUGUAGCUCCUUUGAUUGAUUAAGAUGAAAACUUCACGAUAGUAUAGGCUAAUGAUUCCAUUUUUGAUAAACAUGUGAUUCGCAUCUUGCUUUCAAAACAAAACAUUUGCUAUUGUAGCCGUAAAUUUGGGUAGCCGAUGGCCUGUGAUAAGACUGGAAUAUGCAGCAAAUGUCAUUUUUAAUGUAUUGAAAGAAAAAAAAGAAAGAAAAAAGAAAGAAGAGG
rnacentral:misc_RNA from 1 species